UACAGAGGUCCCAAGCGUUGUUCGGAUUCAUUGGGCGUAAAGGGUGCGUAGGCGGCGCGGUAAGUCGGGUGUGAAAUCUCGGGGCUUAACUCCGAAACUGCAUUCGAUGCUGCCGUGCUUGAGGACUGGAGAGGAGACUGGAAUUUACGGUGUAGCGGUGAAAUGCGUAGAUAUCGGGAGGAACACCAGUGGCGAAGGCGACUUCCUGGCCUGUUCUUGACGCUGAGGCGCGAAAGCUAGGGGAGCAAACGGG
rnacentral:rRNA from 1 species